rnacentral:lncRNA from 13 species
GUGAAGGAUAGCAUAUAUAUUUUUAAAAAUUUAAAGAUACAUAAGAAAACACAUAUAAGCAGAAAAGCAUGUUAUGCUCCCAGAUGAAAUAUUCAAAUUAUGAAGAUUUUAAUUCACUGCAAAUUGAUCUUAAUCAUUCAAUAACUUCAAUGUGAACAAAUAACUCCAGCAUUCAUCUGGAAAUAUAAAUACAAGAAUAGCUGAGAGGACAAUGGCAGAAAAAUCAGAAAUUCCAACUUUGGCCCUUCCAUAAAAGCAAUAAGAAAACUGUCAAAAGUGUCAGAAUCAACUUUCUUUAGAACUCUGAAAAUUCGCCAAAGGGUUGCAACAACCAGAAGAGCCCUUGAUGUAACAGCUGAAUCCUGAAUCUGCUGUUAGUAAGAAAUAAGGAUCCUGAGAUUUGUUGCAUUUUUACUUUCUCCAGCUCCAUUUCCAACUCCGGAGCUCAUCGGUAAGAAGCCAUGAAAAGAAGUGUCCACAUUCCCUGUACUGGAUGGAGCAGAACACAUCUCAUUCACAAAGACUUUUAUAAUGUACUGUGACCUCUCUGAUGUCUCCCUGGCAGACUGGCUCAAAAGGCUGGUCGCCGUCUCACCUGACUCAGAACUCCUCCAGGGCUAAUGAUGCUGCCAGGGAAGCGGAGGACAUUUAUCUAAAAGAUUCAUAGGUGAAUGUUUUAGUUGCUGCUUCCUGUUGAUAAAUAACAUUUGGGGAAAACAAUGAACAAAGCAGAAAACUGGAGAGGGAAGACUACUGAAAGGCGAUAUCCACAGGGCUUAAAAGCUCUAUUACAUCCUGGAACUCUACACGGCUGGAUGCUAACAAAGAACCUGAGAAGGCUCUAAAGUCUCUGAAUAAGUGAAGAGUAAGACAGAGAUAGAUGCAAACUGCCUGAGUGUUAAAGGCAUGCCCCAACACACCACACACACACACACGCGCGCACACACACACAGACACACCACACACAUGCGCACGCACACACGGACACACAGACACACCACACACAUGCGCGCGUGCACACACAUGCACAGACACACCACACACGCGUGCGCACAUGCACACACACAUCACACACACUCACGCGCGCGUGCACACAUGCACACACCCACCACACACACUCACAUGCACACGCACACACAUACACAUGCACACACACGUACACACACGCACACACACACCACACACACUCACAUGCACGUGUGCACACAUGCACACACACGCACACACACAUACACAUGCACACACACGUACACACACCACACACACAUGCGCACACACAUGCACACACGUGCACACACAUACACAUGCACACACACGCACACACACAUACACACGCACACACACGUACACACACGCACACACGCACACACCCCACACACACGCACGCGCGCACCCCUCCUUAGCAAAGACUGGGAGAUUUGUUGGUUCCAGGCAUUUAGGAAAACAUCUGUCCUGAGUGAAUGCUGGAAUAAGUUAAGACUUUGGGGGACUAUUGAGAAGUCAUGA